rnacentral:rRNA from 1 species
CAGUAAACGGCGGCCGUAACUAUAACGGUCCUAAGGUAGCGAAAUUCCUUGUCGGGUAAGUUCCGACCCGCACGAAAGGCGUAACGAUUUGGGCACUGUCUCAACGAGAGACUCGGUGAAAUCAUAGUACCGGUGAAGAUGCCGGUUACCCGCGACAGGACGGAAAGACCCCGUGGAGCUUUACUGUAGCCUGAUAUUGAAAUUCGGUACAGUUUGUACAGGAUAGGUAGGAGCCUUAGAAGCGUGAGCGCUAGCUUACGUGGAGGCAUUGGUGGGAUACUACCCUAAUUGUAUUGGAUUUCUAACCCGCAGCACUUAUCGUGCUGGGAGACAGUGUCAGGCGGGCAGUUUGACUGGGGCGGUCGCCUCCUAAAGAGUAACGGAGGCGCUCAAAGGUUCCCUCAGAAUGGUUGGAAAUCAUUCAUAGAGUGUAAAGGCAUAAGGGAGCUUGACUGCGAGACCUACAAGUCGAGCAGGGUCGAAAGACGGACUUAGUGAUCCGGUGGUUCCGCAUGGAAGGGCCAUCGCUCAACGGAUAAAAGCUACCCCGGGGAUAACAGGCUUAUCUCCCCCAAGAGUUCACAUCGACGGGGAGGUUUGGCACCUCGAUGUCGGCUCAUCGCAUCCUGGGGCUGUAGUCGGUCCCAAGGGUUGGGCUGUUCGCCCAUUAAAGCGGUACGCGAGCUGGGUUCAGAACGUCGUGAGACAGUUCGGUCCCUAUCCGUCGUGGGCGUAGGAAAUUUGAGAGGAGCUGUCCUUAGUACGAGAGGACCGGGAUGGACAUACCUCUGGUGUACCAGUUGUCGUGCCAACGGCAUAGCUGGGUAGCUAUGUAUGGACGGGAUAAGUGCUGAAAGCAUCUAAGCAUGAAGCCCCCCUCGAGAUGAGAUUUCCCAACUUCGGUUAUAAG